UACGUAGGGUGCGAGCGUUGUCCGGAAUUAUUGGGCGUAAAGGGCUCGUAGGCGGUUUGUCGCGUCGGGAGUGAAAACCUUGGGCUAAACUCAGGGCUUGCUUUCGAUACGGGCAGACUAGAGGUAUGCAGGGGAGACUGGAAUUCCUGGUGUAGCGGUGGAAUGCGUAGAGAUUCGGAGGAACACCGGUGGCGAAGGCGGCCUGCUGGGCAGUGUCUGACGCUGAGGCGCGACAGCGUGGGGAGCAAACAGG
rnacentral:rRNA from 1 species